rnacentral:rRNA from 1 species
AGUGAACGCUGGCGGCGUGCCUAAUACAUGCAAGUCGAACGGAGAUUAAGUAGCUUGCUAUUUAAUCUUAGUGGCGCACGGGUGAGUAAUAUAUAGCUAACUUGCCAUUACUAAGGGACAACAGUUGGAAACGACUGCUAAUACCUUAUACUCCGUAUCUAUAUAAGUAGAUACGGGAAAGUUUUUCGGUAAUGGAUAGGGCUAUAUCGUAUCAGCUAGUUGGUAAGGUAAUGGCUUACCAAGGCUAUGACGCGUAACUGGUCUGAGAGGAUGAUCAGUCACACUGGAACUGAGACACGGUCCAGACUCCUACGGGAGGCAGCAGUAGGGAAUAUUGCUCAAUGGGGGAAACCCUGAAGCAGCAACGCCGCGUGGAGGAUGACACUUUUCGGAGCGUAAACUCCUUUUCUUGGGAAAGAAUUAUGACGGUACCCAAGGAAUAAGCACCGGCUAACUCCGUG